rnacentral:rRNA from 1 species
AACGCUAGCUACAGGCUUAACACAUGCAAGUCGAGGGGCAGCAUGGUCUUAGCUUGCUAAGGCCGAUGGCGACCGGCGCACGGGUGAGUAACACGUAUCCAACCUGCCGUCUACUCUUGGACAGCCUUCUGAAAGGAAGAUUAAUACAAGAUGGCAUCAUGAGUCCGCAUGUUCACAUGAUUAAAGGUAUUCCGGUAGACGAUGGGGAUGCGUUCCAUUAGAUAGUAGGCGGGGUAACGGCCCACCUAGUCUUCGAUGGAUAGGGGUUCUGAGAGGAAGGUCCCCCACAUUGGAACUGAGACACGGUCCAAACUCCUACGGGAGGCAGCAGUGAGGAAUAUUGGUCAAUGGGCGAGAGCCUGAACCAGCCAAGUAGCGUGAAGGAUGACUGCCCUAUGGGUUGUAAACUUCUUUUAUAAAGGAAUAAAGUCGGGUAUGGAUACCCGUUUGCAUGUACUUUAUGAAUAAGGAUCGGCUAACUCCGUGCCAGCAGCCGCGGUAAUACGGAGGAUCCGAACGUUAUCCGGAUUUAUUGGGUUUAAAGGGAGCGUAGAUGGAUGUUUAAGUCAGUUGUGAAAGUUUGCGGCUCAACCGUAAAAUUGCAGUUGAUACUGGAUAUCUUGAGUGCAGUUGAGGCAGGCGGAAUUCGUGGUGUAGCGGUGAAAUGCUUAGAUAUCACGAAGAACUCCGAUUG